rnacentral:rRNA from 1 species
GAUGAACGCUGGCGGCGUGCCUAAUACAUGCAAGUAGAACGCUGAAGGAGGAGCUUGCUUCUCUGGAUGAGUUGCGAACGGGUGAGUAACGCGUAGGUAACCUGCCUGGUAGCGGGGGAUAACUAUUGGAAACGAUAGCUAAUACCGCAUAAGAGCAGUUGUUGCAUGACAGCUGUUUAAAAGGUGCAAUUGCACCACUACCAGAUGGACCUGCGUUGUAUUAGCUAGUUGGUGAGGUAACGGCUCACCAAGGCGACGAUACAUAGCCGACCUGAGAGGGUGAUCGGCCACACUGGGACUGAGACACGGCCCAGACUCCUACGGGAGGCAGCAGUAGGGAAUCUUCGGCAAUGGGGGCAACCCUGACCGAGCAACGCCGCGUGAGUGAAGAAGGUUUUCGGAUCGUAAAGCUCUGUUGUAAGAGAAGAACGAGUGUGAGAGUGGAAAGUUCACACUGUGACGGUAUCUUACCAGAAAGGGACGGCUAACUACGUGCCAGCAGCCGCGGUAAUACGUAGGUCCCGAGCGUUAUCCGGAUUUAUUGGGCGUAAAGCGAGCGCAGGCGGUUAGAUAAGUCUGAAGUUAAAGGCUGUGGCUUAACCAUAGUACGCUUUGGAAACUGUUUAACUUGAGUGCAAGAGGGGAGAGUGGAAUUCCAUGUGUAGCGGUGAAAUGCGUAGAUAUAUGGAGGAUCACCGGUGGCGAAAGCGGCUCUCUGGCUUGUAACUGACGCUGAGGCUCGAAAGCGUGGGGAGCAAACAGG